UCUAAUCUAUAUAUCCAUAAUAUGAUUACGCCAAUUUUUAAUUUCGGUUGCGCAUGAGUUUAUUACCAUGGAUAAGCUACUAAAAUUAUGAAAUCAAGCAACAAACAACAUGUACAAGCGUCACAAACAUAUAACAAAUACAGUUUUAUCCAACGGUUUCGGUUUACGAAUAUUACAUCACGCCAGUGGUUGAAUUUUGUUUUGCUAAUUUAUAAUAGCUUAUUGGGUUCGAACCUGCUACAUAUUGAAUUAUAAUCGAAGUAUUGACCACUAGACCAGAACACUAGGAC